rnacentral:rRNA from 1 species
AAAGCAAGGGAUCGCAAGACCUUGCGCUUUUGGAGCGGCCGAUGUCUGAUUAGCUAGUUGGUGAGGUAAAGGCUCACCAAGGCGACGAUCAGUAGCUGGUCUGAGAGGACGACCAGCCACACUGGAACUGAGACACGGUCCAGACUCCUACGGGAGGCAGCAGUGGGGAAUUUUGGACAAUGGGGGCAACCCUGAUCCAGCCAUGCCGCGUGAGUGAAGAAGGCCUUCGGGUUGUAAAGCUCUUUCAGCCGGAACGAAACGGUCACGGAUAAUACCUGUGACUAAUGACGGUACCGGAAGAAGAAGCACCGGCUAACUACGUGCCAGCAGCCGCGGUAAUACGUAGGGUGCGAGCGUUAA